CAGGCAUGCUGGAGCCCCGCAGCGGCGCCUGGGCGUGCGCUGGCACAGACACCUGCCGCCCGACACCGUAGUUCCAAUCGGGGCUUAA
rfam:Sinorhizobium fredii NGR234, complete genome.